rnacentral:rRNA from 1 species
GACGAACGCUGGCGGCGUGCCUAAUACAUGCAAGUUGAGCGCUGAAGGUUGGUACUUGUACCAACUGGAUGAGCAGCGAACGGGUGAGUAACGCGUGGGGAAUCUGCCUUUGAGCGGGGGACAACAUUUGGAAACGAAUGCUAAUACCGCAUAAAAACUUUAAACACAAGUUUUAAGUUUGAAAGAUGCAAUUGCAUCACUCAAAGAUGAUUCCGCGUUGUAUUAGCUAGUUGGUGAGGUAAAGGCUCACCAAGGCGAUGAUACAUAGCCGACCUGAGAGGGUGAUCGGCCACAAUGGGACUGGGACACGGCCCAAACUCCUACGGGAGGCAGCAGUAGGGAAUCUUCGGCAAUGGACGGAAGGCUGACCGAGCAACGCCGCGUGAGUGAAGAAGGUUUUCGGAUCGUAAAACUCUGUUGGUAGAGAAGAAAGUUGGUGAGAGUGGAAAGCUCAUCAAGUGACGGUAACUACACAGAAAGGGACGGCUAACUACGUG